rnacentral:rRNA from 1 species
GUCCUACGGGACGCAGCAGUGAGGAAUAUUGGUCAAUGGUCGGGAGACUGAACCAGCCAAGCCGCGUGAGGGAUGAAGGUACCGAGUAUCGUAAACCUCUUUUGUCAGGGAACAAAGGCGGGGACGCGUCCCCGGAUGAGUGUACCUGAAGAAAAAGCAUCGGCUAACUCCGUGCCAGCAGCCGCGGUAAUACGGAGGAUGCGAGCGUUAUCCGGAUUUAUUGGGUUUAAAGGGUGCGCAGGCGGAAUGUCAAGUCAGCGGUAAAAUUUCGGGGCUCAACCCCGUCUGGCCGUUGAA